UGCGUAACGCGUGAGCAACCUACCCAUAUCAGGGGGAUAGCCUCUCGAAAGAGAGAUUAACACCGCAUAACAUCAUUUACCGGCAUCGGUUUUUGAUCAAAUAUUUAUAGGAUAUGGAUGGGCUCGCGUGACAUUAGCUAGUUGGAGAGGUAACGGCUCACCAAGGCUACGAUGUCUAGGGGCUCUGAGAGGAGAAUCCCCCACACUGGUACUGAGACACGGACCAGACUCCUACGGGAGGCAGCAGUAAGGAAUAUUGGUCAAUGGAGGCAACUCUGAACCAGCCAUGCCGCGUGCAGGAUGACUGCCCUAUGGGUUGUAAACUGCUUUUGUCAGGGAAUAAACCUUUCUACGUGUAGAAAGCUGAAUGUACCUGAAGAAUAAGGAUCGGCUAACUCCGUGCCAGCAGCCGCGGUAAUACGGAGGAUCCAAGCGUUAUCCGGAUUUAUUGGGUUUAAAGGGUGCGUAGGCGGUCCUAUAAGUCAGUGGUGAAAGACGGCAGCUUAACUGUCGCAGUGCCUUUGAUACUGUAGGACUUGAAUCUAUUUGAAGUGGGCGGAAUAAGACAAGUAGCGGUGAAAUGCAUAGAUAUGUCUUAGAACUCCGAUUGCGAAGGCAGCUCACUAAGUUAGUAUUGACGCUGAUGCACGAAAGCGUGGGGAUCAAACAGGAUUAGAUACCCUGGUAGUCCACGCCCUAAACGAUGAUAACUCGAUGUUUGCGAUACACAGUAAGCGUCCAAGCGAAAGCGUUAAGUUAUCCACCUGGGGAGUACGGUCGCAAGAUUGAAACUCAAAGGAAUUGACGGGGGCCCGCACAAGCGGAGGAGCAUGUGGUUUAAUUCGAUGAUACGCGAGGAACCUUACCCGGGCUUGAAAGUUAGUGAAUGAUCCAGAGACGGAUCAGUCCUUCGGGACACGAAACUAGGUGCUGCAUGGCUGUCGUCAGCUCGUGCCGUGAGGUGUUGGGUUAAGUCCCGCAACGAGCGCAACCCCUAUGUUUAGUUGCCAGCAUGUAAUGAUGGGGACUCUAAACAGACUGCCAGCGUAAGCUGUGAGGAAGGUGGGGACGACGUCAAGUCAUCAUGGCCCUUACGUCCGGGGCUACACACGUGCUACAAUGGACGGUACAGCGGGCAGCUACAUAGCAAUAUGAUGCUAAUCUCUAAAAGCCGUUCACAGUUCGGAUUGAGGUCUGCAACUCGACCUCAUGAAGUUGGAUUCGCUAGUAAUCGCGUAUCAGCAAUGACGCGGUGAAUACGUUCCCGGGCCUUGUACACACC
rnacentral:rRNA from 1 species